GACGAACGCUGGCGGCGUGCCUAAUACAUGCCAGUAGAACGCACAGUUUAUACCGUAGCUUGCUACACCAUAGACUGUGAGUUGCGAACGGGUGAGUAACGCGUAGGUAACCUGCCUGGUAGCGGGGGAUAACUAUUGGAAACGAUAGCUAAUACCGCAUAAUAUUAAUUAUUGCAUGAUAAUUAAUUGAAAGGUGCAAUUGCACCACCACCAGAUGGACCUGCGUUGUAUUAGCUAGUAGGUGAGGUAACGGCUCACCUAGGCGACGAUACAUAGCCGACCUGAGAGGGUGAUCGGCCACACUGGGACUGAGACACGGCCCAGACUCCUACGGGAGGCAGCAGUAGGGAAUCUUCGGCAAUGGACGAAAGUCUGACCGAGCAACGCCGCGUGAGUGAAGAAGGUUUUCGGAUCGUAAAGCUCUGUUGUAAGAGAAGAACGGGUGUGAGAGUGGAAAGUUCACACUGUGACGGUAUCUUACCAGAAAGGGACGGCUAACUACGUG
rnacentral:rRNA from 1 species